rnacentral:rRNA from 1 species
UACGUAGGGGGCAAGCGUUGUCCGGAUUUAUUGGGCGUAAAGAGCGUGUAGGCGGCCAGACAGGUCAGCUGUGAAAACUCGAGGCUCAACCUCGAGACGUCGGUUGAAACCGUUUGGCUAGAGUCCGGAAGAGGAGAGUGGAAUUCCCGGUGUAGCGGUGACAUGCGCAGAUAUCGGGAAGAACACCCGUGGCGAAGGCGGCUCUCUGGGACGGUACUGACGCUGAGACGCGAAAGCGUGGGGAGCAAACAGG